rnacentral:rRNA from 1 species
GACGAACGCUGGCGGCGUGCUUAACACAUGCAAGUCGAACGGUAAGGCCCUUCGGGGUACACGAGUGGCGAACGGGUGAGUAACACGUGGGUGAUCUGCCCUGCACUUCGGGAUAAGCCUGGGAAACUGGGUCUAAUACCGGAUAGGACCACUGCCUGCAUGGGUGGUGGUGGAAAGCUUUUGCGGUGUGGGAUGGGCCCGCGGCCUCUCGGCUUGUUGGUGGGGUGAUGGCCUACCAAGGCGACGACGGGUAGCCGGCCUGAGAGGGUGACCUGCCAGACGGGGACUGAGGUACGGCCCAGACUCCUACGGGAGGCAGCAGUGGGGAAUAUUGCACAAUGGGCGCAAGCCUGAUGCAGCGACGCCGCGUGAGGGAUGACGGCCUUCGGGUUGUAAACCUCUUUCAGCACCGACGAAGCGCAAGUGACGGUAGGUGCAGAAGAAGGACCGGCCAACUACGUGCCAGCCGCCGCAGUAA